UAAUACAAAUAUGGAAGUAUGUGAAAACCUUAAAUAUGAUUUAAAGUGAAAAUUUAAAUUACAGGAGAGUAUGUAUAGAAAAAAUGGACUUGGUGAUUUUCAGAAUAUCUGGGUGAGUUUUGUUUUCACUUCCAUUUAAAUUUUCCUCUUGAAAAGAGUAGCAGCACUCUAAGAAAUGUAAAGUUUUGUGUCAUUUGUAGGGACAUGGAUGAAUCUGGAGAACAUCAUCCUCAGCAAACUGACACAAGAACAGAAAACGAAACACCGCAUAUUCUCACUCAUAGUAGAGACGGGGUUUCACCAUGUUGACCAGGAUGGUCUCGAUCUCUUGACCUCGUGAUCCACCCGCCUCGGCCUCCCAAACUGCUGGGAUUACAGGCUUGAGCCACCGCGCCCGGCCCAGAUACUCUUUUAUCUCCACUUUUCUCUUAGAAGUGACUAUCUCACCAAACGGAAAGCAAUCACAUCAUUACUAAUAAGCUAUGUUAGUGACCACGAUCUAAAUGAAAAGCUUUGCUUUCAUCCAAAUGAAAUCUUCCCUUUUGCUAU
rnacentral:lncRNA from 1 species